rnacentral:rRNA from 1 species
GAUGAACGCUGGCGGCGUGCCUAAUACAUGCAAGUCGAGCGAACGGACGAGAAGCUUGCUUCUCUGAUGUUAGCGGCGGACGGGUGAGUAAAACGUGGAUAACCUACCUAUAAGACUGGGAUAACUUCGGGAAACCGGAGCUAAUACCGGAUAAUAUUUUGAACCGCAUGGUUCAAAAGUGAAAGACGGUCUUGCUGUCACUUAUAGAUGGAUCCGCGCUGCAUUAGCUAGUUGGUAAGGUAACGGCUUACCAAGGCAACGAUGCAUAGCCGACCUGAGAGGAUGAUCGGCCACACUGGAACUGAGACACGGUCCAGACUCCUACGGGAGGCAGCAGUAGGGAAUCUUCCGCAAUGGGCGAAAGCCUGACGGAGCAACGCCGCGUGAGUGAUGAAGGUCUUCGGAUCGUAAAACUCUGUUAUUAGGGAAGAACAUAUGUGUAAGUAACUGUGCACAUCUUGACGGUACCUAAUCAGAAAGCCACGGCUAACUACGUG